rnacentral:rRNA from 1 species
UGGGGAAUUUUGCACAAUGGGGGAAACCCUGAUGCAGCGACGCCGCGUGAUUUAGAAGGCCUUCGGGUUGUAAAAAUCUUUUGUAUGGGAAGAAAAUGACAGUACCAUACGAAUAAGGACCGGCUAAUUACGUGCCAGCAGCCGCGGUAAUACGUAAGGUCCGAGCGUUGUCCGGAAUCAUUGGGCGUAAAGGGUACGUAGGCGGUAAGACAAGUUGAAGGUGAAAACCUGUGGCUCAACCAUAGGCUUGCCUACAAAACUGUUGAACUAGAGUACUGGAAAGGUGGGUGGAACUACACGAGUAGAGGUGAAAUUCGUAGAUAUGUGUAGGAAUGCCGAUGAUGAAGAUAACUCACUGGACAGAAACUGACGCUGAAGUGCGAAAGCUAGGGGAGCAAACAGG